rnacentral:rRNA from 1 species
UAACAUGUAAAUAAAUAAGGUUAAAGUAUUAAAUGGUAUAUCAUUAAAUUUAUAUAAUUUGGCGGUAUUUUAUUCAAAUUAGAGGAAUCUGUUUUGUAAAUGAUGUUCCACGAUUGGAGUUACUUAAUAUUGAAUAUUUAUGUAUUGUUGUUUAUAGGUAUGUUUAAAAAAAUUUUAUUAUAAUAGAGAGUGUUUAAUAAUUCAAAUCAAAAUGUAGUAGAUUUUUAAGAAAUUAAUGGAUUACAAUAAAAUAUAUUUAUAUGAAUUUAUAUUUUUAAUAAUAUAAUGAAGGUGGAUUUAAAAGUAUAAUAAUUUAAAUAUUUUAUUUGAAAAAGUUAUGAAAUAUGU